rnacentral:rRNA from 1 species
CAAUAGCGUAUAUUAAAGUUGUUGCAGUUAAAAGCUCGUAGUCGGAUUUUGGCAUCAUGCCGAACUGUCGGCCGAUUGGUUUGUACGGUUUGGCGGGUGCUCUCCUUCCGGAGGCUCGUUUCCUCUUUCAUUAGAGGGUUCGAUGGUUCCGGGUCUUUUACUUUGAAAAAUUAGAGUGUUCAAAGCAGGCCUACGCUUGAAUACAUUAGCAUGGAAUAAUGGAAUAGGACUUUGGUGCUAUUUUGUUGGUUUAUGGGACCGAAGUAAUGAUUAACAGGGACAGUUGGGGCCGUUUAUAUUUCGUUGUCAGAGGUGAAAUUCUUGGAUUUACGAAAGAUAAACUUCUGCGAAAGCAUUCGGCAAGGAUGUUUUCAUUGAUCAAGAACGAAAGUUAGGGGAUCGAAGACGAUUAGAUACCAU